GACAUUUUCCACAUGUGCCUUACUUUUGUGCUGUGGUUCCCAGUGGUUGAUCAUUUUUACUCUAAAGGCCUAAAAGAUAACACUGACUGAGGAGUGAUAUCACACACACACACACACACACACACACACACACUCCCCACUCUGCCCCCCCUCAAUUGGGCAGGAAGCGCAAUGCACACUUUGCGCAGCCUUGAGGUCUGCAUUUGGUCAAGGCUGCUCUAAAGGAAAGCAGAGUGGUUGAUUUUACCCUUUAGAGCACUGGGAGAGCUGUGUAUAGUGAGGCCACACUGUGGGCCUAAUUAUGUGGCAGACACAAAUUACUUCAGCACUUGGUUCAGUCCAGCAUUAAAUUUGCCAAAGCAAAUAGUUUAUUAAUCUUACCUCUCCCCCCCAAAUUAGACACAUUGGCUUUUUCUAAAAAUGGGAAUGAUUGGAGUGCAUUGUGGGCUUUUAAAAUCUCUCCUUCUCUAUCUGCCCUCUACUCCCAUCCUCAAAGGUGAGCAGUGCGUUCCUCUCCUUGAAUGGAGAAGGUGAUUUUCAUUACUGCCUACUUACCUCUUCUCACAUUUUUGAAACUAAGUGAUGGAAACAUAGCCUGUGAAGGGUGUGUGGAUUUUAAGACAGGGUCAGACUGGCUUUGGACUUGGCUAUGUAGCAGAGGAUGACCUUAAACUGUUGAUCCUCUUGCUUCCACUCCCAAGUGCUGGGGUUAGAGGUGUGCUUCACCGUGCUUCACUCAUUCAUUUCAAGGCCAAAGAAAGAGUCUACUGUUAGAAUGGAACUUUACUGACUGGGAAUUCUUAGGAUUCUGAUUGAGGCUACAUGCAAGGAAAACUGUUGGGUGAGUUCUGUUAGUGACCUUGAAUGUGUCUGGGAAGAUCAGCUAUAAUUUUAUAUGUAGUGAGGGAAUAAGUGAUGUCAGCAGGGCUUCCUACCUGACACCCUGAAUCUGGCCACAAAGACUGCUGGGUAAAGGAAAAUUCACAGGGUUCAUACCUAGUAUUAUGGUUUGUUCCUAUCUCUAGGAGAAAAAACUGCCUGUAAACAAGCAUGCAUCCUUACCUUACCUCACUCCAGAAAACAGCUCUGUAGCCUCCCAGAUAGCCUCUACCUGUCGUCAUGUCCAGAUAGCCUCUACCUGUCAGUCAUGUCCAGAUAGCCUCUACCUGUCAUGUCCAGAUAGCCUCUACCUGUCAUGUCCAGAUAGCCUCUACCUGUCAUGUCCAGAUAGCCUCUACCUGUCAUGUCCAGAUAGCCUCUACCUGUCAUGUCCAGAUAGCCUCUACCUGUCAUGUCCAGAUAGCCUCUACCUGUCAUGUCCAGAUAGCCUCUACCUGUCAUGUCCAGAUAGCCUCUACCUGUCGUCAUGUCCAGAUAGCCUCUACCUGUCAUGUCCAGGCUGACCUGUUGGGAGUUAUCAGCUUUGAAGUCUUAAGGUGCCAUUUUAAUACUUUCUUUAUGGUGCAGGUUUCGAGAGCAAUUUAACUAGAUUCUGGGGGGAGCUUAUUUUACAGCAUUCUUAAGAGCUCCGACAAUCUUGAAAGAGUUAAACUCUAAUUAGCUCAUUCCUAAGGUAUUUAAUGCCCUUAUUAAAACUCAACUGCUUGUUCACUUUUUUUCUUUAGUGAAUCAGAUUUCUUGAGGAGCUGAGCCCUCGCUCCUCAGAUCACAGGCUCACAUGUUGAAGCUGGCAGUGCUAGAGGCUAGUUCCUAUCUGUGUGACAGCAUUUUUAAUUUAACAGGACUGCCUUUGAUGUUCCCAAAUAUUUAUAGGCAGCUUUAGAUCAUUUCAGUAUGUGUUUCUUUUUCUCUUCUUCUGUCUUGCUCU
rnacentral:lncRNA from 1 species